AUGGGACUCCCUUAGUACGAUGGCGGGCAAAUCUUUGCAAAGCGCUGAGUCCCAAGUGGGGUGUUUGUAUGUAGUGCCACUAAUUAACCAUGUGUCUGCUGAUGAGAGUGGUCCAAGAUCGACUGACAUGCUUUGAGGCUUGCAAGCUUUUAAAAACUGGGUGCAUUGGACACCUUAGACAAAAUUAUAUAUUACAUUGG
rnacentral:lncRNA from 1 species